GAAAGAGCAUGUUGGCAGAGUCUCAUCCUCGAGAUCGACCACUUUGACAGGACCUCGAGCAUGAGGAACGCUCCGGGGUGUACCCUGAGGGGUUGGGCGCUCAACCCUCUCCCGCUCUAUGGCCGAGGAUUUUCCCCUUGGCUGUGACGUUUCGCCUGGGCCACUCCUCUGUCUCUCGAGCCUUGAAUCUCGAGCUCUUUUUUGC
rnacentral:lncRNA from 1 species